CCAUAACCCUAAAAUUCAUUCCACCCUCCGCGCCCACGAUCCCUUCUCUCUCUCUUGAUCGAAAAGCGAUGGCGGCGGUUCCGGCGCCCGCCCUCCUCCCUACCACGAGCGGCUGCGGCGGUGCCCUUCCCCCUCUCCCCGCGAGCGGCGGCGGCGGCUCCCUCCGACCUGUCUCGCUUUCCUCGCCGGCGGCCGCUCCCUUUGUCCUGUCUCGCCUCCUCGCUCCCUCCUCCUCUCCUCCUCGCCUCCCUCCCGCGGUGGCGCGGGUUGACGGCGGUCGCGGGCGAAUCCGAGGGUGGUGGCGGCGGCUCCCUCCAUCCCCUCUAGCCUUCCUCCUGUGGCAGAUCCGCCGGCGGCGGCGGCCUCCGCAGGCGGAUCAAGCGGCGGUGGCUCCCUCCGCCCCCUCUCGCCAAGUCCCGCGGUCGAUCCGACGGUGGUGGCGGCGUUGGCGGCGUCCGCGGGUGGAUCCAUUAACAGUGGCGGUGGGCAGAUCCGGUAGCGGCGGCUCCCUCCGCCGCCUCUCUUCUCCCUCCGGCGGCGGUGGUGGUGUCGGCGGCGGCCGCGGAUGGACCCAGUGGCGGUAGCAACGGCCGAGGGCAGCGGUGGCAACGGCCGAGGGCCACGGUGGCGAUGGCCGAGGGCGGAUCCGGUGGCAGGCGAGUGAAGUUUGUGGUGUAUAUUGUUGUUCUUCUUGGAUGAUUAUUUUGUGAUUUUGUGAUGAUUGUGGUUGAUUUUUUGGGGGCAAAGAUUGGUUAGGUUUUGUUCUUUUCCUUGCGGUGUGUGCAUCUGAUUCGGUUGUGCCGAUUUUGGAAAGUGUUUUCCUUAUCCAAUUCGGAUUCGGGGGCUGCGAAGGCGCACCGCCGACGGACUUGCGACGAACAGAAAAUUACGAAUAUUUUAAUUACAAAUUUGGAAACUUCCUCCACGCAAAGCCGUAGCGAAAUUCUCACCUCAAGAUGGCCCUCACCGUCGGCCACCUCCAGCCGCCACUCGCCGGAGCCGGAGCCAAAAGCGUCGCCAUUCCCGGCCCACUCAUCCCACGCCGCCACAUCCUCCUUGCCGACGCCGACGUACUCCAUCCCCGCCACCCGGUGGCCGAACCUGACGCAGUCGAGCACCCCGAAGCGGCGCGCGUAGGCGCCGAGGUAGUCCAUCACCUGGCGGUGGUCCGGGAACACCUCCGUCACCGUCUCCGGCCACGGGAAGUCGGAGUACUGGUACAUGGGCCGCGGAGUCUGCAGCGCGGUGCCCUCCAGCGUCCACGCCCACACGCCACCCACGCCGGUGUCCGCCUCGAACACCACCGGCCGGCAGCCGCGCUCCAGCAGUUGCUUGCACGCGGCCAGGCCGCUCACGCCGGCGCCGACGAUGACCACCCGCUUCUUCUCCAUGAUGGCUAGUGGGCUAGGAAAGUGCGAGCUGUGUGAGUUGUUUGGAGUCUGAUGAGCGAGGUGGUAUUUAUAGUUGGUCAGUGCUAUACUUCCUCGAAAUAUAUCUUUUGACCAUGUCAUCUAAUCAUAAUAUAUAUAAUGGAUAAAAAUAUUUUUACUGUUUUUUAAAA